UACGUAGGGUGCAAGCGUUGUCCGGAAUCAUUGGGCGUAAAGCGCGCGUAGGUGGCUUCGUAAGUCCGUUGUGAAAGUCAAAGGCUCAACCUUUGAAUGCCGAUGGAUACUGCGAAGCUAGAGUACGGAAGAGGCGAGUUGGAAUUCCUGGUGUAGCGGUGGAAUGCGCAGAUAUAGGAGGAACACCAAUAGCGAAGGCAGCUCGCUGGGACGUUACUGACACUAAGGCGCGAAAGCGUGGGGAGCGAACGAGGA
rnacentral:rRNA from 1 species